UACGUAGGGACCAAGCGUUGUUCGGAUUUACUGGGCGUAAAGGGCGCGUAGGCGGCGUGGUAAGUCACUUGUGAAAUCUCUGAGCUUAACUCAGAACGGCCAAGUGAUACUGCUGUGCUAGAGUGCAGAAGGGGGCAAUCGGAAUUCUUGGUGUAGCGGUGAAAUGCGUAGAUAUCAAGAGGAACACCUGAGGUGAAGACGGGUUGCUGGGCUGACACUGACGUGAGGCGCGAAAGCUAGGGGGAGCAAACGGGG
rnacentral:rRNA from 1 species